ACUGAAGCCAAGCAUACAAUUAGUGGGAUUCUGGUAUAAUUUAAUUCCUUUGAUUUGGGGAUGUUAUGUAAUAUUCACAUAUAUAAAGGGGUGUAUCUUAUGUAUUAGACACACAAUUUAAUACAAUGUGAUCCAUCGAUCAAUGGAGAAGAGAGCCCCUAUGGGCAAUAAUGUGUCCGUUGAUGUAGGUCAGUAUGGCCGAAUCACGUUAAUUUUUUUUAUCUUCUUUCAUAUUCUUCUAUUUCUCUGUCUCAUCUUUAUCCAUCUAAAUUUUAACAUCUUUGCAGGCAAACUUUAUGUGCAAUACAAAAUCCAUCGUCUGAAAAUGUUUAUCAACAAGGCUGGCCACUUGUCCUCUAGCUAGCUCAUUAUGCACAAUAAAGAAUUAGAUUAUCCUUCUAUCAUAUCCUAUCUUGUAGGUGGCCUCUCAUGUUUCUAAUUUC
rnacentral:lncRNA from 1 species